CCUACGGGAGACAGCAGUGAGGAAUAUUGGUCAAUGGACGAGAGUCUGAACCAGCCAAGUAGCGUGAAGGAUGACUGCCCUAUGGGUUGUAAACUUCUUUUAUAUGGGAAUAAAAUGUUCCACGUGUGGGAUUUUGUAUGUACCAUAUGAAUAAGGAUCGGCUAACUCCGUGCCAGCAGCCGCGGUAAUACGGAGUAUCCGAGCGUUAUCCGGAUUUAUUGUGUUUAAAGGGAGCGUAGGUGGAUUGUUAAGUCAGUUGUGAAAGUUUGCGGCUCAACCGUAAAAUUGCAGUUGAAACUGGGCGUCUUGAGUACAGUAGAGGUGGGCGGAAUUCGGGGUGUAGCGGUGAAAUGCUUAGAUAUCACGAAGAACUCCGAUUGCGAAGGCAGCUCACUGGACUGCAACUGACACUGAGGCUCGAAAGUGUGGGUAUCAAACAGGAUUAGAUACCCGAGUAGUC
rnacentral:rRNA from 1 species